rnacentral:rRNA from 1 species
CGCAUCUGUGCAUGCAGCAUAUCAAUAAGCGGAGGAAAAGAAACUAACAAGGAUUCCCCUAGUAACGGCGAGUGAAGCGGGAAGAGCUCAAAUUUGAAAUCUUAAAGGGUUUCCCUUUACGAAUUGUAGUUUAAAGAAGUGUUUUUCUGUUGAGGUUUUGGUAAAAGUUCUUUGGAAUAGGACAUCAUAGAGGGUGUAGAAUCCCGUAUUUGACCUUUACUUUCAACUUUGUGAUACACUUUCAAAGAGUCGGAUUGUUUGGGAAUGCAGUCCAAAAUGGGUGGUAAAUUUCAUCUAAAGCUAAAUAUUGGCGAGAGACCGAUAGCGAACAAGUACCGUGAGGGAAAGAUGAAAAGAACUUUGAAAAGAGAGUUAAACAGUACGUGAAAUUGUCAAAAGGGAAGCGUUUGACACCAGUGUUGUUUUUCUGAAAAUCAAUUAAAGAACUGUUUAUGCUAAGUUGUUUAGACUUUAUCAGCUUACUGCUUUAGUUUUGAGCUUUUCUUUAAUGCACUUUUCAGUUAACAAGUCAACAUCAAUUUCUUUUGCUGUAAAAAAAGCUUGAGGAAGGUGGCUUGAGAUUCGUCUUAAGUGUUUAUAGCCUCUUGCCUAUGCAGUCGGAGAGAUUGAGGUCUGCAGCGUAGAUCCUUCGGGGCUAAAUGCAUUUGUGCUAAGUUAUAGCAUUUUAUAGACAACUUGUUGACUAUGAUUUGUCUUGUAGCUUACUCGCUUAUGUUAUUUUACCUACGCUUAGGAUGUUGAGCGCAUGUCUCUCUCU